AGGACGAACGCUGGCGGCGUGCCUAAUACAUGCAAGUCGAACGGUCUUUCUAUGGAAGCUUGCUUCCACUGAGAAGAUAGUGGCGAACGGGUGAGUAACACGUGGGUAACCUGCCCAUAAGAGGGGGGAUAACAUCCGGAAACGGGUGCUAAUACCGCAUAGUUUUCUUGAUCGCAUGAUCGGGAAAGGAAAGACGGCCUUUGUGCUGUCGCUUAUGGAUGGACCCGCGGCGUAUUAGUUAGUUGGUGAGGUAACGGCUCACCAAGACGAUGAUACGUAGCCGACCUGAGAGGGUGAUCGGCCACAUUGGGACUGAGACACGGCCCAAACCCCUACGGGAGGCAGCAGUAGGGAAUCUUCCGCAAUGGACGAAAGUCUGACGGAGCAACGCCGCGUGAGUGAAGAAAGGUUUUCGGAUCGUAAAACUCUGUUGUCAGAGAAGAACAAGUUGGAGAGUAACUGCUCCAGCCUUGACGGUAUCUGACCAGAAAGCCACGGCUAACUACGUGCCAGCAGCCGC
rnacentral:rRNA from 1 species